rnacentral:sRNA from 1 species
UUUACAUAUGAGUUUUACUUGGUGGAAGGUCAAUCUCAACAGCACCAUCCAGUGGGAGAACCUCACGCGGUACGCCCCAGCCCCUCCCUCUACUGCAGUCGGCACCACUUAAUUACUAUUAGAAGUCGCUGUCAAUGCUGACUUCGCCGCAUUGACCUGGGUUUCGAAAUGUGGGACCCAGUUAUGGGUCGUUACAACCUUCAAUUGAACUCAACCGAUCCUCACCCUCACACACUGCUCCGCGGUGGCUUUCGUGAGCAGACAUCGUAUAAGAGUUAUUAGAUUGAACGUUAGAAUAGGGACCAAAAUGGAUAAAGAAAAGGGGCAACAAAUUGAGGCGCUGCUUGGUUGUUGCCAUGGUAAUUAUGGUUAAUACAAAAGAUCUACAUAGCAUAGGGUUCGGUUGGAUAAUCGUGCAGAAUGAUGAUCAUUCCGCGGCACAGGAUUAAAGAAGAGUACAACAGUGUUCGGCGUACGAUAAUUUAUAUUAAUGUUUAACAAUAUUUGUUUGUUUUGGGGAUCCUGGUAGAAUGCCUCCCGAUUAAUUACAAGGAUUUAACUAUACAUAAUCAACAUGAUUUGUGAAAGGAGAACAAUAAUCAAACCGUAUAAGGAUAACAUUUGUAAAUCAUGCAUUUAACCUUACCAAUUUUACAAUAUGUAUUUACAUAAUUACUGAACGAAAUCACAUCGUUAAAUUUGUUGUAUGAUUCAUAACUAAGAGAAAACAUCACAAGAACAAAACAAAAUAAAUCCUUCUUAAGCUCA